UUUGGCUCUGGAACUAGACUCUUUGUUUCAGACGAGGAGCAGGUGGUGAAGCCCGUGGUGAGCGUGUACCCGGCAGCAUCCAGAGGCCGGCUGGAGGAGAAGAGCUCCCUGCUGUGUUUGGCCUCAGCCAUGUUUCCUCCUGUGGUCAGAAUCUCCUGGAGACGACAAACGGAGAGUGGAUGUUUAGAGGAGCUGCCCUCUGCUGACGGACAGCAGCUGGAGCUCAGAGAGUCUGGAUGUACUGCCUCCGUCUUACAGAUCUAUCAGACAAAGUUCAGCUAUGAAUACAGCUGCUACGUGCAGCACGAGGGGGGAACAGUGGAGGCUCUGAUAGAUACAGGUAAUGAAGUUCCAUCACCUGCAGCGGAUCCCUCUGUCCCGUCUCCAUACAAGGUGAAGCUGCUCUUGCUGCUCUACACAGUGCUGACAGUGAAGAGUCUGGUGUACUGCUGUGGACUCUUCCUGCUGACCGUCCUCAGGAACAUCUCAUAAAUGUAUCUCCUUUAUCGCUUAGAUGAAUUUAAAAAUGUCAAUCAUGACUAAAUAUAUGCAAUUAUGAUCAAACAACAUUUUGCAGCAGUGUAAAACAAAUCCUAUACUAUAUACAGUAAAUGUUAUUGUUUUGUAUAAUACUUUAGCAAAUGAUGCGCAAUGUUUAGAGCUAUUAGCGGCUAAGAUGCUUUCUUAAUCAGGCCCUCAGUCUCUCGUAACAAGCUCUCUUUAUAGUUUCACACACCCAGAGAAUAAAAUGUACAGGAAGAUAUGAAUACAAGCACACACAUUGACCAGGAACAAAAAGCUCACAAAGAAAAGUAAACUUGUAAAAAUUCAGUGUGUUGAUUUGUCUGCAGGUUCACUGUUGACCCUUUAAACGGUGGGUCAGUGUUUUAUGUAGAGCUCUACGCUGAUGAUACUCUUGUUUACAUGUAGAAACAAAACAUGACAUAGCAGCUUCAUCGUGGAGAGCUGAAGCUGAAAGAU